GGUGGGCACUCUAAGGAGGACUGCCGGUGCAAAACCGGAGGAAGGUGGGGAUGACGUCAAGUCAUCAUGGCCCUUACGGCCUGGGCUACACACGUGCUACAAUGGUCGGUACAAAGGGUUGCCAAGCCGCGAGGUGGAGCUAAUCCCAUAAAACCGAAUCGUAGUCCGGAUCGCAGUCUGCAACUCGACUGCGUGAAGUCGGAAUCGCUAGUAAUCGUGAAUCAGAAUGUCACGGUGAAUACGUUCCCGGGCCUU
rnacentral:rRNA from 1 species